AUUGAACGCUGGCGGCAGGCCUAACACAUGCAAGUCGAGCGGAUGAAGGGAGCUUGCUCCUGGAUUCAGCGGCGGACGGGUGGGUAAUGCCUAGGAAUCUGCCUGGUAGUGGGGGAUAACGUCCGGAAACGGGCGCUAAUACCGCAUACGUCCUGAGGGAGAAAGUGGGGGAUCUUCGGACCUCACGCUAUCAGAUGAGCCUAGGUCGGAUUAGCUAGUUGGUGGGGUAAAGGCCUACCAAGGCGACGAUCCGUAACUGGUCUGAGAGGAUGAUCAGUCACACUGGAACUGAGACACGGUCCAGACUCCUACGGGAGGCAGCAGUGGGGAAUAUUGGACAAUGGGCGAAAGCCUGAUCCAGCCAUGCCGCGUGUGUGAAGAAGGUCUUCGGAUUGUAAAGCACUUUAAGUUGGGAGGAAGGGCAGUAAGUUAAUACCUUGCUGUUUUAACGUUACCAACAGAAUAAGCACCGGCUAACUUCGUG
rnacentral:rRNA from 1 species